rnacentral:rRNA from 1 species
AGUGAACGCUGGCGGCGUGCCUAAUACAUGCAAGUCGAACGGAGUGGCGCACGGGUGAGUAAUAUAUAGCUAAUCUGCCCCUUGCUGGAGGACAACAGUUAGAAAUGACUGCUAAUACUCCAUAGCAAGGGAUGAGACGAUAUCGUAUCAGCUAGUCGGUGGGGUAACGGCCUACCGAGGCUAUGAAGUGUCACUGGUCUGAGAGGAUGAUCAGUCACAUUGGAACUGAGACACGGUCGAAACUCCGACGAGAGGCAGCAGUAGGGAAUAUUGCUCAAUGGGGGACAGCCUGAAGCAGCAUCGCGGCGUGGAGGAUGACACUUUUCGGAGCGUAAACUCCUUUUGUUAGGGAAGCGGUACCUAACGAAUAAGCACCGGCUAACUCCGUGCCAGCAGCCGCGGUAAUAC